rnacentral:rRNA from 1 species
UACAGAGGUCUCAAGCGUUGUUCGGAUUCAUUGGGCGUAAAGGGUGCGUAGGUGGCAGGGUAAGUCGGAUGUGAAAUCCCGGGGCUCAACCUCGGAACUGCAUUCGAUACUGCUUUGCUUGGAGUACUGGAGAGGAGGAUUGGAAUUUACGGUGUAGCAGUGAAAUGCGUAGAUAUCGUAAGGAAGACCAGUGGCGAAGGCGGAUCUCUGGACAGUUACUGACACUGAGGCACGAAGGCCAGGGGAGCAAACGGG